AUACAGAGAGUGCAAGCGUUAAUCGGAAUUACUGGGCGUAAAGCGCGCGUAGGUGGAUACUUCAGUCGGAUGUGAAAGCCCCAGGCUUAACCUGGGAAUUGCACUCGAUACUGGGUAUCUUGAGUAUGGUAGAGGGAAGUGGAAUUUCCGGUGUAGCGGUGAAAUGCGUAGAUAUCGGAAAGAACACCAGUGGCGAAGGCGACUUCCUGGACCAAUACUGACACUGAGGUGCGAAAGCGUGGGGAGCAAACAGGAUUAGAUACCCCGGUAGUCC
rnacentral:rRNA from 1 species